GAGAUUAUGUGAUAAUCUCAUCCAUUUUUUCUCUCAAAGCUUCAACAUUUUUUCUCUCCAAAUUUGUUACUCACCGGAUUCCACCAUCCCAUUCUAAGGUCGAAAAAUAGUCAGAAAGACUCUCGUGGUGGUCUACGAAACGUUAUGAGGAGAUUGGAGCUGAUUUGGAGAAGAUUCAAAAACUACAAAAGUUGUAUUUUUUCCACAUUUUUCUUGUUUUAUUGCAUGCAUGCUUAUCUUUAUAGUUAAUUUAAUUAGAGUAUUUUAGAUCUGUUUUUCUUUCGAUGCACAUGUGUUCAUUCCAUUAGACCCUUGGUCGCCGAUUGUUGAGCGUUGUCAGUAAGCUCUCUCUCUUUAGUCCUCUGUCGACCUCUACCUCAAAACAUCUCUUAUCAGAUCCGAUUGCUGGCCUUUGCUCCACCACUCAUUGCCAUUUAGCAGAUGUCACCCCCAUCCACUAUAAAAGCCGCCACUAUUGGAAUUUUGGUCGAUUUUGGGUGAGUUUCUUAUUUUGUUGUGAGCUUUUGGCUGUUUUGGUUGGAUUUUUGAUAAUCCAGUAAGUUUUGAUCCAAAACUAUGUUCACCCAUGUUGUGUUAAUUUUAGAUCUGAGUUUUGAGGGGAACUUGUGUGUUGUUUAGUGGAGUUUAAAUUGUUCUGGCAUCCUCUAAGUAAUUAUCUCAGGUUUUGAAGCUCUUUGCUGGUUUAGUCUAGGGGCUGUAAAUUUAUUCUGAUUAACUAUUAUUGAUAUGUGCAUAGGGUGGAAUAGGAUUUUGAGGAUUGGAGGUGGUUUCGAUUUAAGCUACACUUGGGUAUGACUUCUGGAGGCAUUUGGGUUGAGUUUAGUGUUUUAGUUUUGAUUAUGGAAUAUCUAAGUGAUUUCCUUUUGUGUUUAGGAAGACUUCAGAGUUAUUUUCACUCAAGCUAAAAAGGAGUUUAGUUAAGCUUGCUUGAACAUAUUUGAGUUUGAUCCCAAGAUAAGUGUCUUACUACUUGUUCGCCCGAACCAGAUGCCCUAGUCGAUGUUAGGAUUGAAUACCUACUACGAAAGCAUGCUUCUAAAUGUAUUGGGUUGACUAGCUUUGUUUCAUUGAUGUAUGAUUUGUUUUGGGCGUGCUGGAAGCUUAUGAGCUAUGUUGAUAUGAACAUGGCACAAGAUCUUAUAUUUACAUUUUGCAUGCUGGAUAUAUUGGCUAAGAUAAUAUGAUUAUGAUUUAUAGUAUGAGGUGCCUAUUAGUUGUUUGAUGCAUACUAAAUUAGAUAGUGACUAUCUAUCGUGCUGCAUACAUCUUAUGCUUAUGAACCUUCGGGUUCACCACUUAUGACUGACUUGGUGUCCCUAUGGGAUCACCACUAUUGCCAUAAUUUUUGUUCCUCCGAGAUCACCACGACAAUCAUGAUUUAUGUUCCUUCGGGAACGCCACUAUUGCCAUGAUUUGUAGGCAUUUGGGCUCACUACUUAUACCCAUGUGCACAUGUACCCGAAAAGGAAGGUAAAGACAAGAACAGAUUGAUGAAUGACAAGAAGAAUCCAUGACCAUUCUAUUGGGACUAGAUCGACGCUUCUGCAUAUGUUUUCCAUGUCUUUCAUGUUCCAGUUUCUAGCAGACGAAUGUUUGAGUUCUUUAUUUGUUUUACUUUAUUCUAUUUUGAAAUAUCAAGUUUUAUAGGUACCCAAAAAAGGUUUUAUGCUAUUUAAACUUUUACUUUAAAUAAAGAGGUUUGAUUGGUUUUGCUUAAA